CCUACGGGAGGCAGCAGUGGGGAAUAUUGCACAAUGGGGGAAACCCUGAUGCAGCGACGCCGCGUGAGGGAAGAAGUAUUUCGGUACGUAAAGCUCUAUCAGCAGGGAAGAAAAUGACGGUACCUGACUAAGAAGCCCCGGCUAACUACGUUCCAGCAGCCGCGGUAAUACGUAGGGGGCAAGCGUUAUCCGGAUUUACUGGGUGUAAAGGGAGCGUAGACGGCAGGGCAAGUCUGGAGUGAAAUCCCAUGGCUUAACCGUGGAACUGCUUUUGAAACUGUGCAGCUAGAGUGCAGGAGAGGUAAGCGGAAUUCGUAGUGUAGCGGUGAAAUGCGUAGAUAUUAGGAGGAACACCAGUGGCGAAGGCGGCUUACUGGACUGUAACUGACGUUGAGGCUCGAAAGCGUGGGGAGCAAACAGGAUUAGAUACCCCAGUAGUC
rnacentral:rRNA from 1 species